CAGCCGCCGCGGGAAUACGUAGGGUGCAAGCGUCAAUCGGAAUUACUGGGCGUAAAGCGUGCGCAGGCGGUUCGUUAAGACAGAUGUGAAAUCCCCGGGCUUAACCCGGGAACUGCAUUUGUGACUGGCGGGCUAGAGUAUGGCAGAGGGGGGUAGAAUUCCACGUGUAGCAGUGAAAUGCGUAGAGAUGUGGAGGAAUACCGAUGGCGAAGGCAGCCCCCUGGGCCAAUACUGACGCUCAUGCACGAAAGCGUGGGGAGCAAACAGGAUUAGAUACCCCCGUAGUCCCUGUCUCUUAUAC
rnacentral:rRNA from 1 species